AAGUGUGAUCCCAGAAGUCUCACCAAGAGAUGGUGUUGAUUCUUCUCAGUGCAAGAGGCAUACUGUUGCUGCGUUUAACCUCACUGAAGCCAGACUAAUCCAGAGAUGUUCUUAGCUUCCUGUGACUCAUAUGAAGGUUAUCAUUUUAGAAGAGACCUUGAAAACAUACUCUGGAUUUAGGGGGAAAAAAAAACCCUGACAUUUCCAAGAGGAAAAACUUCUUUUAAAUUUUAUAUUGUAGAUGCAGAGCUUAAAGCAUUUAAACACAUACAGCAAGCAAUAUAAUAUGAAUCAUGUAACAAAAAUUAAAUUUAAGUGAAAACCUUUUGUGGUAUAUUGCAGUCACAAAAGAAGAUACAAAAUGAAUGUGGACACCUGCCUGUUUUACUUGUAUCAGGAGAAAAUAAAAUUCAUUGUCAUUUAAUGAAUUGCUUUCUGUUGUAGUACACUUAGUUAUCUCUUCGUUUAACCCCAAGAAGUAUCUUUUUAAACUCACAGCUGUAUCUGAAUAGGGGUUACCAACUAAAGAGGUAAGCAAUACUUUUUAUUAAUUACAAUGUAUUUGUUUUCAUCUGUCUUUACAGAACAUUCUAAAAUUAGACACUUAUCCCUUGAAUAAAGCAAUACCCAGCUUAAUAAAGUCUGAGAA